rnacentral:rRNA from 1 species
ACUAACAAUAAGAGGGUAAUACCAUAAUGGGAAACCUAUAUCCUUUGGCGGCCUUAAUUCUAAUUAAAGGAACUUGUUAAAUAAUCGAAAUUACCCGUUCAAUCUCCCUUUCCAUAAAGCCUUUAUACCGUCGUCUUAAGAGUUCAUUCCCAUAUAAUUCUCGCAAACGGUUAACCGACCAAGUCAGAUCAAGGUGAAGCAUAUAGGAAAGAAUUAAUGAGUUAUUCAUAAAAAUUAUUUAUGGAUUUUGUUAUAAAGAACACAUAAAUUAAGAUUUAAAAGUACCACAAGAUUACAAUUCUUGAGGAAAUA